CCUACGGGGCGCAGCAGUAGGGAAUCUUCCACAAUGGACGAAAGUCUGAUGGAGCAACGCCGCGUGAGUGAAGAAGGGUUUCGGCUCGUAAAGCUCUGUUGGUAGUGAAGAAAGAUAGAGGUAGUAACUGGCCUUUAUUUGACGGUAAUUACUUAGAAAGUCACGGCUAACUACGUGCCAGCAGCCGCGGUAAUACGUAGGUGGCAAGCGUUGUCCGGAUUUAUUGGGCGUAAAGCGAGUGCAGGCGGUUCCAAAACUCUGAUGUGUAAGCCUUCCGCCCCACCCG
rnacentral:rRNA from 1 species